GAUGAACGCUGGCGGCGUGCUUAACACAUGCAAGUCGAACGGAAAGGCCUCAGCUUGCUGGGGUACUCGAGUGGCGAACGGGUGAGUAACACGUGGGUGAUCUGCCCUGCACUUUGGGAUAAGCUUGGGAAACUGGGUCUAAUACCGAAUAUGACCACUUCUUGGAUGUUGUGGUGGAAAGCUCUUGCGGUGUGGGAUGAGCCUGCGGCCUAUCAGCUUGUUGGUGGGGUAAUGGCCUACCAAGGCGGCGACGGGUAUCCGGCCUGAGAGGGUGUACGGACACAUUGGGACUGAGAUACGGCCCAGACUCCUACGGGAGGCAGCAGUGGGGAAUAUUGCACAAUGGGCGCAAGCCUGAUGCAGCGACGCCGCGUGGGGGAUGAAGGCCUUCGGGUUGUAAACUUCUUUUAUGGGGGAAGAGUAAGGACGGUACCCCAGGAAUAAGUCACGGCUAACUACGUGCCAGCAGCCGCCGUAA
rnacentral:rRNA from 1 species